GGGGUUAUAGCUCAAUGGUAGAGCCCAUGCUUAGCACGGAUGAGGUCCUGGGUUCAAUCCCCAGUACCUCCA
rnacentral:tRNA from 1 species